AGGAUGAACGCUGGCGGCGUGCCUAAAACAUGCAAGUCAUACGGGCUUACCUUCGGGUAGCCAGUGGCAAACGGGUGAGUAACACGUGGGAACGCGCCUUGGGGUGGGGAAUAACGCUGAGAAAUCAGUGCUAAUACCGCAUAUGGUCUAACGACUAAAGCAGCAAUGCGCCCCGAGAGCGGCCCGCGACCGAUUAGCUAGUUGGUGGGGUAAUGGCCUACCAAGGCGGUGAUCGGUAGCUGGUCUGAGAGGAUGGUCAGCCACACUGGGACUGCGAACGGCCCAGACUCCUACGGGAGGCAGCAGUUAGGAAUUUUCGGCAAUGGACGAAAGUCUGACCGAGCGACGCCGCGUGGAGGAUGACGCCUUUCGGGGUGUAAACUCCUUUUCUGCGGGAAGAUAAUGACGGUACCGCAGGAAUAAGCACCGGCUAACUACGUGCCAGCAGCCGC
rnacentral:rRNA from 1 species